rnacentral:piRNA from 2 species
AGCAUAAAGAUAGGGAGGUGGUGAUGGA